rnacentral:misc_RNA from 1 species
AUACAAUGCUGUUUUAAUGGUUUUAUGUGUAUGCUGAAAUGUUUUACUUGUAUUCUCCAUCAUCAUGAUUAUCAAGAGUGAUCAAUUUUUAAUGAUUUUUUUUUAUUGUUAAGCGUGAUCCUAUUUUUCUAUAUCUAUAACUUCUCUUUUAAAAAUAACUGAUUAAAAAGAUUUUGUUUUACAGAUGAUUAAUAUGAUUUAACAAAAACUACGCAAACAAAAACUUUACAGUAAUUGUUGCACAUGUACAUGUAAUGAUAUAUACAAAAUGAAAAGAAAGAGAGUAAAUCUAAUGAUGUACUUCAUUUCAAUAUCUAACUUAAUUUCUUUCAUAACGAUCUUUUACCUUAAUACUUAUUUGAAAUAAGAAUAUAAGAUUAUAAUGUCUUUUUCUUGUUUUUAGAAUUCAUUACUUACUGACAAACCAUUCAUGCAGAUAUCUAGAUAUGAUGAACAUAUGAAAAUAAGUAGUUUCCUUAGUGUUCUGUGUGUGCCAUAUGCAUGUUCUUUAAUCUCGUACAAAUCUGCCUUCGCAAGGUUGAAAAUAAACAAAUUUUCAGCGACUUUGCUGUUUGUUUUUCGUAGCAAUAGGAUUGUUUACUUUAUGAUAAUCUGAAUGUCUUAUUCGCAAUAUGCAUGAAGUUGCCAACUUAUAACUAUGCAUUUACAUACGUGUUUGUGAUUUUAUAAUAGUACCAAAUAUGUACGUAAACAUUGCAAUAUUGGUUCAUGUUAAUAUUAAGAUGGUAUGGGAUACCAGUUGAAAUUAAUGAAUAAUAACUAGUUAGUUCUAUGGUCGAUACUUCGACCUUGUCAACAAAUACAAUCUUUUGUUAAUUGGAAUGCUGACUGAGGUUUUUUUUAACACUUAUUGUUAAGUCAUUUCACUGAAUUGUCUAUGGAUUUUUCAGUUUUCCCGAUUACGACAAAGAGCAUAGGGCAGGUGUGACCGGUCAGCAUAUAUGGUAGAGGAUGCUCACUCCUCCAUGGCACCUGACCCUACCCCUAUCUAGUGUAGAGGUUCGUGUUUGCUCUGCUCUUACUUUUUUACCUUUGGUCCUUUGAUGUUAAAUACACUGUUUGUUAGCAUCACAUUUCAUGAAGGGAAAAUUAUUAUAUUAAAAUAUAUUAAUUAAAAUACUUUCUCCAGUUCAGAAUUUUCAAAUUUUACAAUAUUUGACGAAAUAUUUUUAAAAUUGUUUUUGGAAGGUAAACUUAUCAAAACCUCAGCUGGACUCAAACUCCUGACAAACAGAUUGAUAGUUAACAAUUUAACUCUUUGCGCUAUGCUGUUAGGAAGCAGAAAGAAAAUAUAAAUAUAUAAAGUUAUGACUGUUAUUAUUUAUAUUUAUUUCAAUAGGAAGUAUGUCAUAACAUGGAGGUGUCCCAUACCACCUUAAUGAAUGUUUCAGUAUUUUUUGUACAUUUUCCCCCGACGUUAUCAUUGAGUUUUUGUAUAGUUACUUAGUUGAGAUAAUAUACUUUGAUAAUAAAUUUUAUUAAAU